rnacentral:rRNA from 1 species
UACGUAGGGGGCAAGCGUUGUCCGGAUUUAUUGGGCGUAAAGAGCGUGUAGGCGGUUCGGUAGGUCCGUUGUGAAAACUCGAGGCUCAACCUCGAGACGCCGAUGGAAACCCUCGAACUAGAGUCCGGAAGAGGAGAAUGGAAUUCCUGGUGUAGCGGCGAAAUGCGCAGAUAUCAGGAAGAACACCCGUGGCUAAGGCGGUUCUCUAGUACGGUACUGACGCUGAGACGCGAAAGCGUGGGGAGCGAACAGG